rnacentral:rRNA from 1 species
AAAGAAAGAUGUGAAAUCCCAGGGCUCAACCUUGGAACUGCAUUUUUAACUGCCGAGCUAGAGUAUGUCAGAGGGGGGUAGAAUUCCACGUGUAGCAGUGAAAUGCGUAGAUAUGUGGAGGAAUACCGAUGGCGAAGGCAGCCCCCUGGGAUAAUACUGACGCUCAGACACGAAAGCGUGGGGAGCAAACAGGAUUAGAUACCCUGGUAGUCCACGCCCUAAACGAUGUCAACUAGCUGUUGGGGCCGUUAGGCCUUAGUAGCGCAGCUAACGCGUGAAGUUGACCGCCUGGGGAGUACGGUCGCAAGAUUAAAACUCAAAGGAAUUGACGGGGACCCGCACAAGCGGUGGAUGAUGUGGAUUAAUUCGAUGCAACGCGAAAAACCUUACCUACCCUUGACAUGUCUGGAAAGCCGAAGAGAUUUGGCCGUGCUCGCAAGAGAACCGGAACACAGGUGCUGCAUGGCUGUCGUCAGCUCGUGUCGUGAGAUGUUGGGUUAAGUCCCGCAACGAGCGCAACCCUUGUCAUUAGUUGCUACGCAAGAGCACUCUAAUGAGACUGCCGGUGACAAACCGGAGGAAGGUGGGGAUGACGUCAAGUCCUCAUGGCCCUUAUGGGUAGGGCUUCACACGUCAUACAAUGGUCGGGACAGAGGGUCGCCAACCCGCGAGGGGGAGCCAAUCUCAGAAACCCGAUCGUAGUCCGGAUCGCAGUCUGCAACUCGACUGCGUGAAGUCGGAAUCGCUAGUAAUCGCGGAUCAGAAUGUCGCGGUGAAUACGUUCCCGGGUCUUGUACACACCGCCCGUCACACCAUGGGAGUGGGUUUCACCAGAAGUAGGUAGCCUAACCGCAAGGAGGGCGCU